GGGAAGGAUGAGGUCAGAGUGGGAAGGAUGAGGUCAGAGUGGGAAGGAUGAGGUCAGAGUGGGAAGGAUGUGGUCAGAGUGGGAAGGAUGUGGUCAGAGUGGGAAGGAUGUGGUCAGAUUGGGAAGGAUGUGGUCAGAUUGGGAAGGAUGUGGUCAGCGUGGGAAGGAUGAGGUCAGAGUGGGAAGGAUGAGGUCAGAGUGGGAAGGAUGAGGUCAGAGUGGGAAGGAUGAGGUCAGAGUGGGAAGGAUGAGGUCAGAGUGGGAAGGAU
ensembl:lncRNA